rnacentral:rRNA from 1 species
UGGGGAAUUUUGCACAAUGGGGGAAACCCUGAUGCAGCGACGCCGCGUGAUUUAGAAGGCCUUCGGGUUGUAAAAAUCUUUUCUAUGGGAAGAAAAUGACAGUACCAUAGGAAUAAGGACCGGCUAAUUACGUGCCAGCAGCCGCGGUAAUACGUAAGGUCCGAGCGUUGUCCGGAAUCAUUGGGCGUAAAGGGUACGUAGGCGGGUAAGCAAGUUAGAAGUGAAAUCCUGUAGCUCAACUACAGUAAGCUUUUAAAACUGCUCAUCUUGAGAUAUGGAAGGGAAAGUGGAAUUCCUAGUGUAGCGGUGAAAUGCGCAGAUAUUAGGAGGAAUACCGGUGGCGAAGGCUACUUUCUGGCCAUAAUCUGACGCUGAGGUACGAAAGCGUGGGUAGCAAACAGG